rnacentral:rRNA from 1 species
UACGUAGGGCGCAAGCGUUGUCCGGAAUUAUUGGGCGUAAAGAGCUCGUAGGCGGCUUGUCACGUCGGGUGUGAAAGCCCGGGGCUUAACCCCGGGUCUGCAUUCGAUACGGGCUAGCUAGAGUGUGGUAGGGGAGAUCGGAAUUCCUGGUGUAGCGGUGAAAUGCGCAGAUAUCAGGAGGAACACCGGUGGCGAAGGCGGAUCUCUGGGCCAUUACUGACGCUGAGGAGCGAAAGCGUGGGGAGCGAAAAGG